rnacentral:rRNA from 1 species
UACGGAGGGAGCUAGCGUUGUUCGGAAUUACUGGGCGUAAAGCGCGCGUAGGCGGCUUUGUAAGUUAGAGGUGAAAGCCCGGAGCUCAACUCCGGAACUGCCUUUAAAACUGCAUCGCUUGAAUCCAGGAGAGGUGAGUGGAAUUCCGAGUGUAGGGGUGAAAUUCGUAGAUAUGGGGUGGAACACCGGUGGCGAAGGCGGCCAUCUGGACGGUAACUGACGCUGAGACGCGAAAGCGUGGGGAGCAAACAGG